GCAGUCGAGGGGUAUAGGUUUUCGGACCUAGAGACCGGCGCACGGGUGCGUAACGCGUAUGCAAUCUACCUUUUACAGAGGGAUAGCCCAGAGAAAUUUGGAUUAAUACCUCAUAGUAUUGUUGAAUGGCAUCAUUUAAUAAUUAAAGUCACAACGGUAAAAGAUGAGCAUGCGUCCCAUUAGCUAGUUGGUAAGGUAACGGCUUACCAAGGCAACGAUGGGUAGGGGUCCUGAGAGGGAGAUCCCCCACACUGGUACUGAGACACGGACCAGACUCCUACGGGAGGCAGCAGUGAGGAAUAUUGGUCAAUGGGCGCAAGCCUGAACCAGCCAUGCCGCGUGCAGGAUGACGGUCCUAUGGAUUGUAAACUGCUUUUGUACAGGAAGAAACAGUUCUACGUGUAGAACCUUGACGGUACUGUAAGAAUAAGGAUCGGCUAACUCCGUGCCAGCAGCCGCGGUAAUACGGAGGAUCCAAGCGUUAUCCGGAAUCAUUGGGUUUAAAGGGUUCGUAGGCGGUUUUGUAAGUCAGUGGUGAAAGCCCAUCGCUCAACGGUGGAACGGCCAUUGAUACUGCAAGACUUGAAUUAUUGGGAAGUAACUAGAAUAUGUAGUGUAGCGGUGAAAUGCUUAGAGAUUACACGGAAUACCAAUUGCGAAGGCAGGUUACUACCAAUAUAUUGACGCUGAUGGACGAAAGCGUGGGGAGCGAACAGGAUUAGAUACCCUGGUAGUCCACGCCGUAAACGAUGGAUACUAGCUGUUCGGAGCAAUCUGAGUGGCUAAGCGAAAGUGAUAAGUAUCCCCACCUGGGAGUACGUUCGCAAGAAUGAAAC
rnacentral:rRNA from 1 species